GCUAUGCUCAAAUGUGGACGCCUGAACUGGAGUGGGUUUAUGGGAUUGGCCUAUGAAUAUUUGAUCCCACUCAACUCAACAAACCUAGUGACUAACCAGGAAUAGCUUCUGACAUCCAACAAACACAGAAACACCACCAAGAGCGGCACCACGGGCAAAACGCCAAGAUGUCCAAGUGUUCAUAAGCACUAGCUAUCUACCAAAAUGUUCACAAUUACUCCUCUAGGACAUAGAAUCAUUACACUUUUUCUAUACCAGUGUGGAGAAUGUACCCAUUGCCUGAAUUGUGAAAGCAACUUGUGUUUGAAGAGAGGUCCUUCCUCAGGUUCUGGAUUGAUGGAUGAUGGUUCCAGGAGGUUUACCUGUAAGGGGAAACCAAUUCAUCACUUUAGUAACACCAGUACCUUCACAGAAUAUACAACAGUGCGGGAGAACUCAGUUGCCAAGACUGAUGUGGCCAUAUCUCUGGAGAAAGCAUAUUUGUUUAGCUGUGGGUUUUCCACUGGGUAUGGGGCUGUGCUCAAUAUUGCCAAGUUUUUACAUGUUUCUACAUGGGUCAAACCUGGUUCUGCGUCGCUCUGUCUUUGGCCUGGAAGGAGCUGGCAUGCUGGUGAUCGUUGGCUGUAAGCAGUCUGGGAUCUUAUGUGUGGAAGUGGGCUGAAUUGGGAAUCGAAAGACAAGAGUUCAAAUUUUGACUCUGCCACUGCCUUGGUUUCCUUGUCUGUAAAGUGAGUUUUGACUAGAUGUCUAUAAGGUGAAGGUCCUGGUGUCAGAAUCACCAAGCAACAUCUCCAGCUCCAGCUGCUUCCCUGCCAGCAUCUUCCCAGGAAGAGCUCCAAGAUGCACUCAUGUUUGAUCCUCCUUCCAGCUCUGCUCUAGUCAGAUAGAUGUCAGAGAUCUUCUUGGAGGUCCCCGAGACUGUCAUUCUCCAAUGGAAAGAAAUGUGUAAAUUUUCAGUGUAUAAACAUUAUAAUAAUUGCUAUACCCUACUCUAGACCAAGGUGUCAAACCUUCAGUCAGCUGGCCUUCAUAGGACUCCCAAGUGCCCUGAACCAGAUUAUAAUAUAUUUAGGAAAUAU